AGAGUUUGAUCCUGGCUCAGAUUGAACGCUGGCGGAAUGCUUUACACAUGCAAGUCGAACGGCAGCACGGACUUCGGUCUGGUGGCGAGUGGCGAACGGGUGAGUAACAUAUCGGAACGUAUCCAAUAAUGGGGGAUAACUAAUCGAAAGGUUGGCUAAUACCGCAUACGCCCUGAGGGGGAAAGCUAGGGAUCUUCGGACCUGGCGUUAAUGGAGCGGCCGAUAUCUGAUUAGCUAGUUGGUGAGGUAAAGGCUCACCAAGGCGACGAUCAGUAGCUGGUCUGAGAGGACGACCAGCCACACUGGAACUGAGACACGGUCCAGACUCCUACGGGAGGCAGCAGUGGGGAAUUUUGGACAAUGGGCGCAAGCCUGAUCCAGCCAUUCCGCGUGAGUGAAGAAGGCCUUCGGGUUGUAAAGCUCUUUCGCAAGGGAAGAAAACUUAUCCUCUAACAUAGGAUGAGGUUGACGGUACCUUGAUAAGAAGCACCGGCUAACUACGUGCCAGCAGCCGCGGUAAUACGUAGGGUGCGAGCGUUAAUCGGAAUUACUGGGCGUAAAGCGUGCGCAGGCUGUUUUGUAAGUCAGAUGUGAAAUCCCUGGGCUCAACCUAGGAACUGCGUUUGAAACUACAAGACUA
rnacentral:rRNA from 1 species